UUGCUACUUCCUCCGUCCGAAAAUACUUGUCUUAAAAAUGUAUAAAAUGAACGUAUCCAUCACUAAAAUAAGUCUAGAUACAUCUACUUCUAGGACAACUAUUUCUGGACGGAGGGAGUACUUC
rfam:Hordeum vulgare subsp. vulgare, WGS project CAJW01000000 data, contig: morex_contig_55599